GUCUAUGGCCAUGCCCGAUUCUGUCUGCUCUUGGAAGCUAAGCAGGGUUGGGCCUGGUUAGUACUUGGAUGGGAGACAACCUAGGAAAACCAGGUGCUGUAGGUG
rnacentral:rRNA from 1 species